rnacentral:rRNA from 1 species
GACAGAGGGGGCAAGCGUUGCUCGGAAUUACUGGGCGUAAAGGGUUCGUAGGUGGCUUGCUAAGUCAGACGUGAAAUCCCUCAGCUUAACUGGGGAACUGCGUCUGAGACUGGUGAGCUUGAGUGCAGGAGAGGAACGCGGAAUUCCAGGUGUAGCGGUGAAAUGCGUAGAUAUCUGGAGGAACACCGGUGGCGAAGGCGGCGUUCUGGACUGCUACUGACACUGAGGAACGAAAGCCAGGGGAGCAAACGGG